rnacentral:rRNA from 1 species
UAGGGAAUAUUGGGCAAUGGACGGAAGUCUGACCCAGCCAUGCCGCGUGAAGGAUGAAGGUCCUAUGGAUUGUAAACUUCUUUUAUUAGGGAAGAAACCUACGGAUUCAUCCGUAGCUGACGGUACCUAAUGAAUAAGCACCGGCUAACUCCGUGCCAGCAGCCGCGGUAAUACGGAGGGUGCAAGCGUUAUCCGGAUUCACUGGGUUUAAAGGGUGCGUAGGCGGAAUUAUAAGUCAGUGGUGAAAGCCCCGAGCUCAACUUGGGAACUGCCAUUGAUACUGUUUUUCUUGAAUGUAGAUGAAGUGGGCGGAAUAUGACAUGUAGCGGUGAAAUGCUUAGAUAUGUCAUAGAACACCGAUUGCGAAGGCAGCUCACUAAACUAUUAUUGACGCUGAGGCACGAAAGCGUGGGGAGCGAACAGG